UGGGGAAUAUUGGACAAUGGGCGAAAGCCUGAUCCAGCCAUGCCGCGUGUGUGAAGAAGGUCUUCGGAUUGUACAGCACUUUAAGUUGGGAGGAAGGGCAGUAAGCGAAUACCUUGCUGUUUUGACGUUACCGCCAGAAUAAGCACCGGCUAACUCUGUGCCAGCAGCCGCGGUAAUACAGAGGGUGCAAGCGUUAAUCGGAAUUACUGGGCGUAAAGCGCGCGUAGGUGGUUCGUUAAGUUGAAUGUGAAAGCCCCGGGCUCAACCUGGGAACUGCAUCCAAAGCUGGCGGGCUAGGGUAGGGCAGAGGGUGGUGGAAUUUCCUGUGUAGCGGUGAAGUGCGUAGAUAUAGGAAGGAACACCAGUGGCGAAGGCGACCACCUGGGCUCAUACUGACACUGAGGUGCGAAAGCGUGGGGAGCAAACAGG
rnacentral:rRNA from 1 species